AACGCUGGCGGCAGGCUUAACACAUGCAAGUCGAGCGGGGAAAGGUAGCUUGCUACCUGACCUAGCGGCGGACGGGUGAGUAAUGCUUAGGAAUCUGCCUAUUAGUGGGGGACAACAUUCCGAAAGGAAUGCUAAUACCGCAUACGCCCUACGGGGGAAAGCAGGGGAUCUUCGGACCUUGCGCUAAUAGAUGAGCCUAAGUCAUAUUAGCUAGUUGGUGGGGUAAAGGCCUACCAAGGCGACUAUCUGUAGCGGGUCUGAGAGGAUGAUCCGCCACACUGGGACUGAGACACGGCCCAUACUCCUACGGGAGGCAGCAGUGGGGAAUAUUGGACAAUGGGCGAAAGCCUGAUCCAGCCAUGCCGCGUGUGUGAAGAAGGCCUUUUGGUUGUAAAGCACUUUAAGCGAGGAGGAGGCUACUUAUAUUAAUACUCUAGGAUAGUGGACGUUACUCGCAAAAUAAGCACCGGCUAUCUCUGUGCCAGCAGCCGCGGUAAUACAGAGGGUGCGAGCGUUAAUCG
rnacentral:rRNA from 1 species